rnacentral:tRNA from 1 species
UCCCCGGUAGUCCAGUGGUUAAGACUCUGAGCUUCUAGCACAGGAAGCUUGGGUUCAAUCCCUAGCCAGGGAU